GAUGAACGCUAGCGGGAGGCCUAACACAUGCAAGCCGAGCGGUAUUUGUUCUUCGGAACAGAGAGAGCGGCGCACGGGUGCGGAACACGUGUGCAACCUGCCUUUAUCUGGGGGAUAGCCUUUCGAAAGGAAGAUUAAUACCCCAUAAUAUAUUGAGUGGCAUCCUUUGAUAUUGAAAACUCCGGUGGAUAGAGAUGGGCACGCGCAAGAUUAGAUAGUUGGUGAGGUAACGGCUCACCAAGUCAAUGAUCUUUAGGGGGCCUGAGAGGGUGAUCCCCCACAAUGGUACUGAGACACGGACCAGACUCCUACGGGAGGCAGCAGUGAGGAAUAUUGGACAAGGGGUUAGCGCCUGAUCCAGCCAUCCCGCGUGAAGGACGACGGCCCUAUGGGUUGUAAACUUCUUUUGUAUAGGGAUAAACCUACUCUCGUGAGAGUAGCUGAAGGUACUAUACGAAUAAGCACCGGCUAACUCCGUG
rnacentral:rRNA from 1 species